AUUGACCCGGUACUCAAUUCAUGAUUCAAUUAUCCAGAGAACGAAAAUAUGUUUCUACCGGCAAAUACACACAUGUACGAAUUUGUAAUAGUCCUUAUUGUUUUCGUACUUCUUAUGAUGAAUGCACUGGCGACCUUUGUGCCGCGUUACACACUACGAAAUAGUAAGUUCUCUCACAGAUAUUUCCCAAACAUUUACUGAUGCCCUUUCCCCUUUGAAUAAACAGACAAACGCAAGAGCAAGGAGAAUGCUGAUCACGAAAAAUAUUUGGGCCAGGCCCAUGGACAUAUCCGCUUGAGCAAUACUUUCACAGGACUCUUUUCUGUUGGCCGUGGUUGUGGUGAACCAUCAUUGUAUCGAAACCAAUAUAAUGUCUAAAGGCCAUUCGUCGGAGGCAAAUUUUAAAUAUAAAUUAAUUCAAACUCUAGUUUUGUUGUAAUGCCGCUUAGGCUUGCCUCAUUCUAUUCUAAUAAAUCUCA
rnacentral:lncRNA from 1 species